CAGAGGAGCCAAGCGUUGUCCGGAUUGACUGGGCGUAAAGCGCACGCAGGCGGUUGCGCGCGUGGGGUGUGAAAUCUGGCCGCUUAACGGCCAGGCGCCAUCCCAUACGGCGCGACUGGAGUGAUGCAGAGGUCGAUGGAAUUGCCGGUGUAGUGGUGAAAUGCGUAGAGAUCGGCAGGAACACCCAGGGGGAAACCAGUCGACUGGGCAUCUACUGACGCUGAGGUGCGAGAGCGUGGGGAGCGAACCGGAUUAGAUACCCGGGUAGUCCACGCCGUAAACGAUGGCCACUCGGCCUUUGGAGGCGGAAUCUCCGUCUUUGGGGGCCUUAGCUAACGCGGGAAGUGGCCCGCCUGGGAACUACGAGCGCAAGCUUA
rnacentral:rRNA from 1 species